rnacentral:rRNA from 1 species
AAAUUGAAGAGUUUGAUCAUGGCUCAGAUUGAACGCUGGCGGCAGGCCUAACACAUGCAAGUCGAACGGUAACAGGAAGAGCUUGCUGCUUUGCUGACGAGUGGCGGACGGGUGAGUAAUGUCUGGGAAACUGCCUGAUGGAGGGGGAUAACUACUGGAAACGGUAGCUAAUACCGCAUAACGUCGCAAGACCAAAGAGGGGGACCUUCGGGCCUCUUGCCAUCGGAUGUGCCCAGAUGGGAUUAGCUUGUUGGUGGGGUAACGGCUCACCAAGGCGACGAUCCCUAGCUGGUCUGAGAGGAUGACCAGCCACACUGGAACUGAGACACGGUCCAGACUCCUACGGGAGGCAGCAGUGGGGAAUAUUGCACAAUGGGCGCAAGCCUGAUGCAGCCAUGCCGCGUGUAUGAAGAAGGCCUUCGGGUUGUAAAGUACUUUCAGCGGGGAGGAAGGGAGUAAAGUUAAUACCUUUGCUCAUUGACGUUACCCGCAGAAGAAGCACCGGCUAACUCCGUGCCAGCAGCCGCGGUAAUACGGAGGGUGCAAGCGUUAAUCGGAAUUACUGGGCGUAAAGCGCACGCAGGCGGUUUGUUAAGUCAGAUGUGAAAUCCCCGGGCUCAACCUGGGAACUGCAUCUGAUACUGGCAAGCUUGAGUCUCGUAGAGGGGGGUAGAAUUCCAGGUGUAGCGGUGAAAUGCGUAGAGAUCUGGAGGAAUACCGGUGGCGAAGGCGGCCCCCUGGACGAAGACUGACGCUCAGGUGCGAAAGCGUGGGGAGCAAACAGGAUUAGAUACCCUGGUAGUCCACGCCGUAAACGAUGUCGACUUGGAGGUUGUGCCCUUGAGGCGUGGCUUCCGGAGCUAACGCGUUAAGUCGACCGCCUGGGGAGUACGGCCGCAAGGUUAAAACUCAAAUGAAUUGACGGGGGCCCGCACAAGCGGUGGAGCAUGUGGUUUAAUUCGAUGCAACGCGAAGAACCUUACCUGGUCUUGACAUCCACGGAAGUUUUCAGAGAUGAGAAUGUGCCUUCGGGAACCGUGAGACAGGUGCUGCAUGGCUGUCGUCAGCUCGUGUUGUGAAAUGUUGGGUUAAGUCCCGCAACGAGCGCAACCCUUAUCCUUUGUUGCCAGCGGUCCGGCCGGGAACUCAAAGGAGACUGCCAGUGAUAAACUGGAGGAAGGUGGGGAUGACGUCAAGUCAUCAUGGCCCUUACGACCAGGGCUACACACGUGCUACAAUGGCGCAUACAAAGAGAAGCGACCUCGCGAGAGCAAGCGGACCUCAUAAAGUGCGUCGUAGUCCGGAUUGGAGUCUGCAACUCGACUCCAUGAAGUCGGAAUCGCUAGUAAUCGUGGAUCAGAAUGCCACGGUGAAUACGUUCCCGGGCCUUGUACACACCGCCCGUCACACCAUGGGAGUGGGUUGCAAAAGAAGUAGGUAGCUUAACCUUCGGGAGGGCGCUUACCACUUUGUGAUUCAUGACUGGGGUGAAGUCGUAACAAGGUAACCGUAGGGGAACCUGCGGUUGGAUCACCUCCUUA